CUACCCUUGACAUGGUCGGAAUCCUGCUGAGAGGUGGGAGUGCUCGAAAGAGAACCGGCGCACAGGUGCUGCAUGGCUGUCGUCAGCUCGUGUCGUGAGAUGUUGGGUUAAGUCCCGCAACGAGCGCAACCCUUGUCCUUAGUUGCUACGCAAGAGCACUCUAAGGAGACUGCCGGUGACAAACCGGAGGAAGGUGGGGAUGACGCCAAGUCCUCAUGGCCCUUAUGGGUAGGGCUUCACACGUCAUACAAUGGUCGGAACAGAGGGUUGCCAACCCGCGAGGGGGAGCUAAUCCCAGAAAACCGAUCGUAGUCCGGAUUGCACUCUGCAACUCGAGUGCAUGAAGCUGGAAUCGCUAGUAAUCGCGGAUCAGCAUGCCGCGGUGAAUA
rnacentral:rRNA from 1 species